UACAGAGGUCUCAAGCGUUGUUCGGAUUCAUUGGGCGUAAAGGGUGCGUAGGCGGCGCGGUAAGUCGGGUGUGAAAACUCGAGGCUCAACCUCGAGAUGUCGGCGGAAACCAUCUGGCUAGAGUCCGGAAGAGGAGAGUGGAAUUCCUGGUGUAGCGGUGAAAUGCGCAGAUAUCAGGAAGAACACCUAUGGCGAAGGCAGCUCUCUGGGACGGUACUGACGCUGAGACGCGAAAGCGUGGGGAGCGAACAGG
rnacentral:rRNA from 1 species